UACGUAGGGACCGAGCGUUGUCCGGAAUCAUUGGGCGUAAAGAGCGUGUAGGCGGCUAUUUAAGUCCUGCGUGAAAUCCUGCGGCUCAACCGCAGACGGUCGUGGGAAACUGGAUGGCUAGAGUGCGGGAGAGGAGAGUGGAAUUCCCGGUGUAGCGGUGAAAUGCGCAGAUAUCGGGAGGAACACCAGUAGCGAAGGCGGCACUCUGGGCCGGUACUGACGCUGCGGAGCGAAAGCGUGGGGAGCGAACAGG
rnacentral:rRNA from 1 species